rnacentral:rRNA from 1 species
CAGCCGCCGCGGGAAUACGGAAGGUCCAGGCGUUAUCCGGAUUUAUUGGGUUUAAAGGGAGUGUAGGCGGUCUGUUAAGCGUGUUGUGAAAUUUAGGUGCUCAACAUCUAACUUGCAGCGCGAACUGGCGGACUUGAGUGCACGCAACGUAUGCGGAAUUCAUGGUGUAGCGGUGAAAUGCUUAGAUAUCAUGACGAACUCCGAUUGCGAAGGCAGCGUACGGGAGUGUUACUGACGCUUAAGCUCGAAGGUGCGGGUAUCGAACAGGAUUAGAUACCCCUGUAGUCCCUGUCUCUUAUAC